UACGAAGGGGGCUAGCGUUGCUCGGAAUGACUGGGCGUAAAGGGCGCGUAGGCGGCUUGCACCGUCAGAUGUGAAAUUCCUGGGCUUAACCGGGGAACUGCGUCUGAUACUGGAUGGCUUGAGUUUGGGAGAGGGAUGCGGAAUUCCAGGUGUAGCGGAUGAAAUGCGUAGAUAUCUGGAGGAACACCGGUGGCGAAGGCGGCAUCCUGGACCAACACUGACGCUGAGUGAGCGAAAGCCAGGGGAGCAAACGGG
rnacentral:rRNA from 1 species